rnacentral:rRNA from 1 species
AAUGAACGUUGGCGGCGUGGAUUAGGCAUGCAAGUCGUACGAGAAUCGUAGCAAUACGAGGAAAGUGGCGGAAGGGAGAGGAUUACGUGGGAAUCUACCCUCAGAACUGGGAUAGCGGCGGGAAACUGCCGGUAAUACCAGAUAAUGUCUGUGGACCAAAGGUGUGAUUCCGUCUGGGGAUGAGCCCACGUCCUAUUAGCUAGUUGGUAGGGUAAUGGCCUACCAAGGCAAUGACGGGUAGCGGGUGUGAGAGCAUGACCCGCCUCACUGGGACUGAGAACUGCCCAGACACCUACGGGUGGCUGCAGUCGAGAAUCUUCGGCAAUGAGCGCAAGCUUGACCGAGCGACGCCGCGUGCGGGAUGAAGGCCUUCGGGUUGUAAACCGCUGUCGUAGGGGAGCAAGAGAUGAGGGUACUCCCUCUGAUUUGAGCGAUCCUAGGAGGAAGGACGGGCUAAGUUCGUGCCAGCAGCCGCAGUAAGAC